AUUUGUAUAAAUGCUAACUUCAGGCUACUUGUACUGAGAAAAGCAAGAUUUCUGUACUACCGCGCUUUGUGUCACCAACUCCACAUUAAAUAUUUUCAAGAGAAUUUGAACGGACUUGAGAUUUACAUUGAACAUCAGUUGAACAUAGAUAUCUUUGAAGUGUGUACAAUAAGAACUGAAGACGUAACUGACCCUAGUCUACAAGAGCAAAAUCUGCUGCAAAGUUUGCUCCUAGAAAUAGUGCAGAUUGCUACGAAUAUUUUUUUCACUCUGGUGCCUAACGGAGAUAAGAUUUGCUAGUUUGAGCCUUGGACUGUAUUUCAGAAAUGUUUCGUUCGGAUAACACAACACUGGAAGGCGCUGCUGAUUUUGUGGAACUCAUUGGAAAUUACACAGAGGAUCGAAGCUUUUCUCUUGAUAAUGUAACCACCGAUCCAGGAUACCCUUUGGAUUACAAGUACUUCUAUUUCUUCGACUACGAGGCGUGGUACAAUCAAUUUCGUUUCAAAUUGGAAUUAUUUCUAUGGACAAAGCUGACCCUUGUUCUAGCUAUUGUGUGUAUUCUUGGCAAUGUUCUUAUCAUAAUUGUUCUCACGCAGAAAACUAGCAGAAAUUUUUCAACGUCAAUUUUUAUAUGUUCCCUUGCGUUUUCCGACAUGUUCAUUAGUGUAUAUUUGUUAGAAGGGUUUUUGAUUUCGAACGGUUAUAUAGUAAAGGCAUACCAUGAGGUCGACUGCCUCUUCCGGCUCUUCUUGCCUAGGGCAGGGAUCAAGGGCGUCAAGCAUGAUGUUGGCCGUUAUUUCUAUCGAGAGAGCCGUGAGUGUUAAAAUUCCGCAUAAAGUCAAACUGAUAUUUACCGUAAAAGCCGCGCGACUGAUCGUCACCGCUGUAUGGUUUAUUGCCAUUUCAACAACGGGCUUAACUACGUAUGUGUACACCUACGUUCAUCUUAUGGGAUACGCCACAAUGUCUAAUUGAUCAAACAAACAAAAGAAUAGCGUAUAGGGUAAACUUUUUUAUCGGCAAAACACUCCUUAUUGGUGCGUGGAUCGUAAAUUUGGUUUGUAUGAUUUAUAUAAUUAAGGCACUAACAAAAAAUGUCGUUGGAAAGGACAAAUCAAACAAAAAACGAUAUAAAAUCCGUCACCAAAACCUUACUUACUUGUAAACAUCGUUUAUUUCCUGUGCGUGACGCCUGACUUGUGUUACAAUACCUACAUUUUCGUGCUUAGAAAUGUAAUCUACGUCAGAUGGUCUUUUACUUGAAUACAGCAACCAUUUUAAUGCCAACAAUAUAAUGAUACUUAUCGGUUAUUGCAACAAUGUUUCGAACUUCUUCAUUUAUUUUCUGAUUGGCUCAAAAUUUCGGAGUGAAACUAAAGAUUACUUUCUGUCGUGCCUGAGAAAAACAAAAACACAGAACUGAUCGAUAAAAAAAUCCUAGAUUUGAGACUCGACAUGACAAAAUACACGUUUUAUAUCAUGCAUGAAACGGUUGCCGUUUUUUUCCCUCCGGCCGUAAGAACGAUAUUGAUUUCAUCUUUAACAUUUUGUAAAUGCCUGGGGUGAAGGUCAUUUGACAGCUGAAUAAAACUGUACAUUUUGAUUGGUGGAUGGAAAAUCCCACAGGUUUUCGAAUGGCAUAAAUUAUAUUUUCUUAAGAGGUGUGCAGGUGCUCUGAGCUGUAUUCUUAAGACAGUAUAAUCUAUUGCAAGACUCCUCACGAAAAGCUUGCGUCAUAAAUUGAAUACCCUCGAUUCUGCCACUCUGAUAUGGAGUAAUCUCCCGCAGACGAUUUACAGUCAACUCGUCCCCAUUUUUGUCAUUUCGUAUCCCUGGACGAUUUCAAAUUGUUUUAUUUGUCCCCCACAUUUUGGUCCCUCCAUUUUUAGUCUUAAUAUUAGAUUAAUAUAAGUAUGGCGUAAAAUUUGUUUUCUGGAAAAUAUGUUCUACAGAAAAAAACAUGAAAAUUUUACUUAUAAAACUACAGUUUGGUUUGGUUUAUAAUUACCCGAUCGUAUGUAAAAGCGCGGAGUGAAUGCACGCUUCGUAGCUUAAAGUGUGCACUAACUAAUGCAACUGUGUAUCUUCUUUAAAGACACUGCUUGUUUCGUAAUUAUCAUGCACAAACAACUUUUAAGAAAGGAUUUAAAUGCACACUAUACAUUUCAAAUUGAAAGCUAAACGAAUGCACCACAUUUCUUGUGAAAGUUGUAUACAUGUUUAUCAUUCUCGUAUACCAGAGCUCUACCAAUGGUUCCCCGGUAGAACUCUUCACGGGUACCAUGUCGACUCAUGGCAUACGGCAUACGGCCUUCGUGAUAUAUUCUUACGCAUAAGAACUCAAACACACGGGUUAUUCUACGAUAAACCACACUUGGGAACUUAUUAUUUCUUAAUUACUCUUUUUUGUAGACAACAUUAUUUAAAGCGUAAUUUUACCGCGUGGCAUUGAUGUUUCUCGCCUUUCUCGGUGACUUUAAUUUGAGUGUACUGACAACACACAAUUUAGCUUUUAAGAUCAAAGUUUUAUAUCUUUCUUGAAAUGAAAUAUCCUUUCGACUGCCGCUAUCAGAUACUGAUGCGCUACAAGAACAGCAUUUUCGCCGUACUGUUUUGCUGAAAGCCCUCCAGAGACUUUUUUUGCGUACCAGAAAAAUUGGGUUGCCUAUUUCCAUAGUCAAGUAAUGCAGAGUUUUGGUGAAAAUCAGUUUAUCUCGCAGUUGAACAAAAAUGAUGAUCCCUAAAACAUACUAUCAAUAUUAUAAAAAGGUGUUUUAACAAUACUCGAGCGCGAUAAUCUCUCUGUUAACACACUGUUCUCUCAAGAACAUCAGUAGAUGCUAGAAUAUACAUUUAGAUGUUUCAUGGACAUAGUCAGUGUUACACCAUAUAUUUUGAUCUUGUAUGAUUUAAUUUUUUCGUUGUGCACUUUUAUUCUAGUUGAAAAUAGUUUUGUUACUUAUUUUGUUCAUUUGUCCAAUUUAUUUAUAUUUCUAUUUUAUUUUUUAUCUUUUUUAUCUUGUUAACGUAUACUGUUUAUUACACUAUGGUGUGCAAGUAUUUAGUAUCUGAAAGGGCUGUGAAUAAGCAUGUGUAAUCUUAAAGAAUUAAGUAAUGAUAUAAACAAAACACAUAUAUGUUUCAUGCCCGCCUGCUUAGCUCAGUAGGGAGAGCGGAGAUCUACGGAACGCGGGGCUGUGAGUUUCAUACCUAGACGAGUACGUAAUUCUGUGAUUUGACUGGUUACAAAACUCUGUCUUAAUGUAUACAUUUUUUUUUGAUAGUUCAGUCAAUUCGGCCUGCCAGUAAGACAGGUGGAGUCUAGAAGAAAUCUUCAGCCUAAAGACUAGACAAAGUCAAAGCUGUCAUUUCAUAUGAAUACGGGUGCAUUUGCUGUAUGUCAAUGUUUUCAAAGGACUUUUCUUACCAUAAAAGAAAAUACAUGUAUUGCAAGAUACAAGGAGAUCAUGAAUCUUCCAUGCGGUAUUCCUAAGAACGAUGAAUGACUCAUAUAUACAUAGUUUUAGCUAAAUUAUGGAGGAUAGUUACUUUUAUCUUAUUUUUUUCUACUUAUUUAUUUAUUUAUUUUUUUAUUUAUUUAUUUGUUUGUUUUGUUAUGGUUUUCAUGUAUUGAUAUGAUAUGCAACUAACAGUUACGAUCACUUUUGCUCUAAAUUCCAAUAUUACGAACAAUCCUAAUAGUACGACCAUCCAUUUCAAAAUUUUCACUUUGGUGUCAUAUCAAAAUAAAUCUUCUUUGACAAGCAUAUAAAAAUGAAGUUUUAAAUUAUUAUUGUUACAUUGAAGUAAUUAUUUUGUUGCUCUUUAUUGUUAUUUUUAUUAAUGUUUUAUAUGUCUGUUAAUCAUUAUUGUUGUGAGUCGGCCGAGAGCUAUUGUUGUAAUAAUGUAUUUGUAUCUUUGUACCAGGCGACCUACUUUGUCUUAUAUCUUACAUGUUUAAACGAAGGGAUUUUUUUUGUUUGUUUGAUUCUUGUAAUGUAUGCCAAGUGAUAUUUUCAUUGUAUACCAUCACGAGCUAACGACAUCAGUAGCUCAUGCCAUAGAAAUGUUAAAUAGCUUUAACAUAAAGGCCCGGAUCCAGAAAAAAAUGACUGGGUGGGUACCAGUUUAGAAUAGACGUUAACAGCCAGGCGCGAUAGCGGGUAGGACAGAGAUGGGGCUUCUGACCAUGUAAGGGAUUCAGAGGUGUCUCUCCUUGACAUUUUUGAAAUGCAUGUAUGAAAUAGUGGACUUAGGGGCAUUUACUUGGUAUUCCCUUCACUUUUGAGGGGUGAGGGGCUCUCACCAUGGAUACUUUGAAAUACAGGUAUAAAAUUCUGACCUCUGGUGCAUUUAAGAUCUAGAUUUUGUGAAGCAGGGUUACUCAACUCUUGAUGGAAGGGGAUGUAUGGGCGCUUCCACUGGAAAAUUAUGAAAUAUAGGUAUCAAAUGGUGGCCUCUGGUGCGUUUCUGGAUCUAACUCUUUUCAAAUCAUUAUUACUUUGCCAAAAUAGUUGGGUGCAUAUUUGAUAAGUAAAGGCCACCUUGCAGCCAACUUUGGGGAGAGU
rnacentral:lncRNA from 1 species